UGUAAAAUAAUUCUGUCUCCUCUUUCUGGCAGGGAAUAUGAGAUCGUCGCUGAUUGGCUGCACCUUGCUCAAGCCGAUAUCUUCGCUCGAUCGAUAUCCGGGCGCGGGACGGUCACACUCACAGGUCGGCAUGUUGGUGAACCUUUCUUGUUUAGCUUAGAUUUCACGUUAUUCAUGUCAACGAGAGCUGCAAACAACUUCUCUAAUUGGUAGAAUGUGGACGGACAUUGCAUUCAUUCCCAUUCAGCCGUUGGACUGAACUGGUACUGUAACACAGUAUGGAUGGUCAAUAUGAAGCAAGCUUCAUCGAAUUCCUCCUAAAGCUCUGUACUCUGUUCUGAUCAUUUUGAAGAUGCUUGCUUUGACAGGACUGGGCAAACGAUUCGUCUAAGACAGGAUGCUGUCCCAACCACAUUUAAUUUGCCGCCUCGUCAUCAGAAGAUGGAGACCAGCAGCAUGGCAGCAGGAGCUAAUGUUGGUCGUGAUGAGGCAUAUACCACCAUCAACAAUGCUGCAAUUGCAUUCACCACCACCAAGUCUGCUUCUGUCACUGCCAUCACCAUUGCCACCGCCAUUACCAAGACCACUCCUGACACAAAGCCCCCAAGUCCUCAACUGACCAGAUAUUGCAGCUGGAGAAGGAUAUACCAGGAACUUCAAAGCCAGGGCUUGCCAGUCUCCUACAAUAAGAAAAAUGCCAUGGGCCCAUCUAAUGAACUAGUAGUAGAAUAUUUGGCCAAAGUUGUAGAAAUGCAGAGACUAACAUACUGCCACAGGUGAGGUUUUGUCCACAGUUCCAGAAGGACACAAAAUAGUAUCAGAAAGUCAUGCCAGAAUCAAACAUUGAAGGGUU